UGGUUCCCUCACUCCCUCUCCUGUGUUUUGUCAUCUUUUUCACCUGUCAUUAAAAAAUAAAAUGAUUCCACUUUCAACACACACAAUUUUGUAGCAUCAAACUAGUAAUUUAAUUUAAAUAAAUGCUAAUAUAGUUUACCUUUGGUGUUGGUAGGUGAAUCAUGAGAAGCCGGAGACUGACCAUCUCCACUCAAUCCAAACCAAGAAGCAACUGUACCCCUAGUCUUAAUGGCAUAGUUGGAUUCAUUUUCCUCAUCCGCAGUACCCAAUGUUUUUGCCACAUGAUCCGACACUGUCACUUUCCCCACUGGAACUGA